GCCCCCAUAGCUCAGUUGGUAGAGCAUUCGCCUAGACAGCGAAGGGCUCCCAGUUCAAGCCUGAGUGAAGACA
rnacentral:tRNA from 1 species